rnacentral:rRNA from 1 species
AGAGUUUGAUCAUGGCUCAGGACGAACGCUGGCGGCGUGCUUAACACAUGCAAGUCGAACGGAAAGGCCCUUCGGGGUACUCGAGUGGCGAACGAGUGAGUAACACGUGGGUGAUCUGCCCUGCACUUUGGGAUAAGCCUGGGAAACUGGGUCUAAUACCGAAUAGGACCACGCGCUUCAUGGUGUGUGGUGGAAAGCUUUUGCGGUGUGGGAUGGGCCCGCGGCCUAUCAGCUUGUUGGUGGGGUAAUGGCCUACCAAGGCGACGACGGGUAGCCGGCCUGAGAGGGUGACCGGCCACACUGGGACUGAGAUACGGCCCAGACUCCUACGGGAGGCAGCAGUGGGGAAUAUUGCACAAUGGGCGCAAGCCUGAUGCAGCGACGCCGCGUGAGGGAUGACGGCCUUCGGGUUGUAAACCUCUUUCAAUAGGGACGAAGCGCAAGUGACGGUACCUAUAGAAGAAGCACCGGCCAACUACGUGCCAGCAGCCGCGGUAAUACGUAGGGUGCGAGCGUUGUCCGGAAUUACUGGGCGUAAAGAGCUCGUAGGUGGUUUGUCGCGUUGUUCGUGAAAACUCACAGCUUAACUGUGGGCGUGCGGGCGAUACGGGCAGACUAGAGUACUGCAGGGGAGACUGGAAUUCCUGGUGUAGCGGUGGAAUGCGCAGAUAUCAGGAGGAACACCGGUGGCGAAGGCGGGUCUCUGGGCAGUAACUGACGCUGAGGAGCGAAAGCGUGGGGAGCGAACAGGAUUAGAUACCCUGGUAGUCCAA